rnacentral:rRNA from 1 species
CAGGGGGGCGAAGCGUUGUUCGGAAUUACUGGGCGUAAAGGGUUCGUAGGUGGCCAACUAAGUCAGACGUGAAAUCCCUCAGCUUAACUGGGGAACUGCGUCUGAUACUGGAUGGCUCGAGUGCAGGAGAGGAAUGCGGAAUUCCAGGUGUAGCGGUGAAAUGCGUAGAUAUCUGGAGGAACACCGGUGGCGAAGGCGGCAUUCUGGACUGCAACUGACACUGAUGAACGAAAGCCAGGGGAGCAAACGGGAUUAGAUACCCCGGUAGUCCUGGCCCUAAACGAUGAAUGCUUGGUGUAACGGGUAUCGAUCCCUGUUGUGCCGAAGCUAACGCAUUAAGCAUUCCGCCUGGGGAGUACGGUCGCAAGGCUG